UACGUAGGGUGCGAGCGUUAAUCGGAAUUACUGGGCGUAAAGCGUACGCAGGCGGCUAUACAAGACAGAUGUGAAAUCCCCGGGCUCAACCUGGGAACUGCAUUUGUGACUGCACAGCUAGAGUUUGUCAGAGGGGGGUGGAAUUCCACGUGUAGCAGUGAAAUGCGUAGAGAUGUGGAGGAACACCGAUGGCGAAGGCAGCCCCCUGGGACCUGACUGACGCUCAUGUACGAAAGCGUGGGGAGCAAACAGG
rnacentral:rRNA from 1 species